GCUUUCAACAUCCCCGUUCGGCGCCCCACGGCGGCCGGACUGAAGGC
rnacentral:sRNA from 1 species